AACAAAGAGGUGAAUGAGCAGAAUGGGUCAUGUACAUCCCACUGAUGUGUGCUGAUGUGACAAAGAGAGAAGGCAGGUAGAAGAGCUAUCUGAACGUUGCUAACAGAGGGCCUGGGGAGGAGGGACGGGCACGACCGCAUCUGCUCCUCUGUCCUGUGUGCGUGUUUGGCCACCUGAUGCCAACUCCAUGAUGGCACAUUUGUCUUAUUAAGUGAGUUGGCUUCCUGGUCUGAACCCUCCAUAAGCCCUGGCUGGGAAUUUUCCUCACUGUGACCUUGUGAGCAGUCCCUGGUUACCCUCAAGGAUUGUGCCAAGCAGGCUCUGGGUUAACAUCUUGGAGAGUACAGAGUAGGCUGAUAAUCAGCCUAUGCUCAACAGCACACCCAAGAGUUGAAGAUUUCUGAUGGCAUCCCUGGGGUGCUCAGCAGUGGCCUUUGUCUGCACCCAUCUUCAUUACAUGUUAAUACCACCAGAGACACUUUGAGGUCACUGGAAGGACUGAGCGCAUUCAGGAGCCUGGAGGAACUCAUCUUGGACAACAAUCAGCUGGGGGACGACCUUGUGUUGCCAGGGUUACCCAGACUGCAUACCUUAACCCUCAACAAGAACCGAAUCACUGAUUUGGAGAACCUGCUGGAUCACUUGGCAGAAGUGACACCAGCUCUGGAGUACCUCAGUCUGCUGGGCAACGUGGCCUGUCCCAACGAGCUGGUCAGCUUGGAAAAGGAUGAGGAAGACUACAAGAGAUACAGAUGCUUUGUUCUGUACAAGCUGCCCAACUUGAAAUUUCUGGAUGCCCAGAAAGUAACCAGACAAGAACGAGAGGAGGCGUUGGUCAGAGGAGUCUUCAUGAAGGUGGUGAAGCCCAAGGCUUCUAGUGAGGACGUUGCCAGCUCCCCGGAGCGCCACUACACGCCCUUGCCUUCUGCUUCCAGGGAACUCACCAGUCACCAAGGUGUCCUGGGGAAGUGUCGCUACGUUUACUAUGGGAAAAACUCAGAGGGCAACAGGUUUAUCCGAGAUGACCAGCUCUGAAGCCAACUUCUGUAUACCUUCACCCAUUUCAUGAAAAUAAAAUCAAAAGGGAAAUCAAAAAUAAAGAAAACGCUAAAGAAAAAACAAUAGCCCACAUUGCCUCUCUUUGGGAAAAGCUAUGACUUCAGCUUUUGGUACCUUCCGCUGACUUUGCCAGGCCUGUCAAGAUGAUCCUUCUGCCUUAGACUGAGUGGUCACAUAGAGAUUGACAUGAUUGCCCUUAAGCAGGUCUCAUCCACCAGGGUGACAGACAGCGGUGGCAAAGCAACAGGGCUGACAGCAUGAACACCAUGAUAGAUUGCCUGGUCCUGCCACUGCUCACAGGGGAGCAGAGGUCACACCUGGGGCCUCCCUGGACAUGCUCAGUGGCUGCAGUCAAGUGAGAAAGACUGUCCUCAGCUCGCCUAUUGAAUUGAAAUCCCUCUGAUACCAUCGUGCUGUGGGCUUAUUUUUAGUGAAAUAGUCACAGUUUAGGGGAUGGCCAUUCUCCCUCACUCCUUUUAAAUCUUAACGUCCUGUAUUCUGCAUAUACAUAGCUCCCGUCUCUUCCCCUCCACCUUCCUUUAGCAUCGAUUUUAUGACAGGUGGUGCAUUUCAGUUUGCAGUUUUUCGGAGAACAAGGUAUAACUUCCCAGCCAGGUCAUACAUUUAUGGCUGGCUUCAUGUUGCUACAAUCCCUUUAUUGGCGUAAAUAGCUUUCCCUAAAUCCCUGACUACAAAAGCGUGGACUUUUAUCUUGUUUCAUUCAACUCUAAAUCCACUUCUUGCCCUGAAUAUGAUGCAGUGUAAGGCAUAAGGCAUCUUUCUCAGCAUGAGGGUUUGGUUGCACCAGGGACUCUUAUUUAUUAAUUUAUUUUUAACCGUACACACUUCCAGUGAUGCCUGUGGCCAUACUUGUGCGUGGGGCUGGCUUGCUCCUUUGGGUGCUAUUUAAAGGGAGUGAGGUGAUGAAAGAUAGAGUGAAGGGUCAGGAGGUUAAAAAACAAAAUUAAGACUGUUGAAAACACCCACCAGACCAAAGAGUUUUUAUAGAAGGCACAAACCUUUUGGAUUUUGCAUCUUUGUCAUGACCUCUCAGAAAUCAAAUCCACAGGUUGUGAGACAGUGCUCUGUCUUCCUGUAUGCUUGGCUGUGCACUAGCACUAAUGUCACAAGGAACAUAAGUGUGAUCAUUGCUAGUUGGGUGACUCAAAGUUUAUCUAACUUGCUGGUGCACCAGUCAAAUCACUCUAGAAGAUGUUCAAAAGGUUGAUUGAUUGUUCUUGACACGAUAGUGUUUAUUUUUCUGCUUCUUCCAUUUAGACCAAGUGUUCAUUGUCCUCCCAGUAUUAGGUCAGUUUGAUGACAGCAAAACCUGAAAGAGAAUCCCUCCAAGUUAUAGAUACUGAGGGACUAGGAGCUGCUAUUGUAAAACUAUGGGGACUCAGAAUCCCUAAGCUGCCCAAGGAGAACCUACUUUCUCAGCUCUAGCCCGUUUACAUAGCCUCUGGCCCACUGAGUCAACACAGGCCUUGAAUGACAUGUAUUGAGGCUGGCAGGAGUCCCUGUUUGAGAUUACACAACCUUUGUUAAUCAGUUCUUUAGACAAGUUAACAUUAAAAUCCUCAAAACCAUGAAAAAUUGGAGAAUGUUGAAUGUUUGCAUUUAUCUCUCAAAUCCAUUAGUAACUGGAUUUGAGUACCUUUUCUCUGUUUGAUCUACAAAACAGCACUGGAAAAAUGCUUUAAAUUAUCUGCAUUUGGUCCCACCCUGGGUCAUUGUUUAGAAGCAUCAACACAUGUUUUCUCCCUGGCAUAAUAUGGGCAGCCAGAAUUCUGUGCAAGGGCAGCUAGACGAGUCAGAUGUCAUAUCCAAUCUAGCCACACAUAUAUCCUUGUCUUUAUAAAAGGCUUUAACCCUGCCUCAAACAAUAAAAAAGCACUUGUGAACUGACCACAGAAUUUUUCCAUCUUUAUUUUUCUUACUUGUUUACUUUUUUUAAUGUCAGAACCAUUUGUAUCAUGCGCAGGAAUGUCUCCCUCAAUGUGAGCUUUGGAGGCAAAACAUAUUUUUGGAGUGAGUUAUUGACCACAUUGUUUCCCUCUCUUUGGGUUGUUUAUUUUCUUCCAGAAUGGUGUAAUAACUUUAAUUAAGAUUAGCUUUAAUUAUAAAUUACCUAAAGGCCAUCACUAAGGUAUAUUCAUCUUAUUGAUAGAAUUAUAGUCAGCUUUGUUUCUCUUAAGCAGGGAUAGUGAUAAUGAAGUGCUGGGUUGGUUACAGUUCCACUGUGUGUUAACCAAAAUUUGCUGUGCUAGAGCUAGACUUUGGUCUGAAUUGGCAGAGGUAGAACCCAUGUUGCAUGUUUAUCCUAAAUCUGUAGGAAUUUCCCAAACCUUGUUUUUCAAAGUUGAGAAGUAGAAAGUAAUAAAUUCAAUCAGGGCCCAGACAUGUUUUGUACCCCCUUUACCCUUUGGUCUUUCUUCCUUUUAUCCUAUUCCACUGAGCUUGUUCUUUGGGGAUUGUGGUGCCUGACAUCACUGUCUUUCCUCCCCUAGGACACUGACUUGAGUGGAGAGACCUCGGCAAUUCAAGGCUGUCCUGCAGCUCUCUGUUGCCUCAGCAAUGUCAGGACGACUGUCUCUUUCCUAAGUAACAUAAUUUUAAAGAACAAUUUGUUCCUCAGGGAAUAAUGUCUUGGAUUGUGGGGAAUCCUAUUAAAAGUACAACUAUUGCAGUCAUUUGCUUUUACUUUUACCAGCCUCACUCAUAAACCCUCCAUCUGUUUGUUGCUUUAAAUAGAAGCACAUUAUAAGAGAUUAUCACUUGAUCAGGCUGCAUGUCUGAGUGUUGUGUGUUUUCACAUACUCAUGUAUACUAAGGAAUAAAAGAAAGCAAACCACA